AGACACAGUGAAGGAGUGAGAUGUGAAGGUGCUCUGUCAUUGCCUCAGUCAAGACUUUCAUGGUACAUUGGAAGAAAGAGAAGCGUGAACAAAUUGCAUGAUACUUGAGGUCAUGCUGUGUACCUGUAUUGAACAAGAAUAAGGGAAGAAAGCUGGGAACCUGGAUCUCCCAUAUAUUGGAAGUUUUGUAAAAACCUUGAGGGUCCCUUCCACUACAUAUGGGGAUUAUGGGAAC
rnacentral:lncRNA from 1 species